GAUGAACGCUGGCGGCGUGCCUAAUACAUGCAAGUCGAGCGAACGGACGAGAAGCUUGCUUCUCUGAUGUUAGCGGCGGACGGGUGAGUAACACGUGGAUAACCUACCUAUAAGACUGGGAUAACUUCGGGAAACCGUAGCUAAUACCGGAUAAUAUUUUGAACCGCAUGGUUCAAAAGUGAAAGACGGUCUUGCUGUCACUUAUAGAUGGAUCCGCGCUGCAUUAGCUAGUUGGUAAGGUAACGGCUUACCAAGGCAACGAUGCAUAGCCGACCUGAGAGGGUGAUCGGCCACACUGGGACUGAGACACGGUCCAGACUCCUACGGGAGGCAGCAGUAGGGAAUCCUCCGCAAUGGGCGAAAGCCUGACGGAGCAACGCCGCGUGAGUGAUGAAGGUCUUCGGAUCGUAAAACUCUGUUAUUAGGGAAGAACAUAUGUGUAAGUAACUGUGCACAUCUUGACGGUACCUAAUCAGAAAGCCACGGCUAACUACGUG
rnacentral:rRNA from 1 species